CAGGGUGUAGGCUAACCGGCAAACCAUCGGAUUCCAAACCCGAGAUUCUCGGUUCAAAUCCGGGCGUCCCUGACAA
rnacentral:tRNA from 1 species